rnacentral:lncRNA from 1 species
AUAAAUUUUUCACUUGAAUUGUAUAAGCAAAUAAUUGGAAUGCGUCGAUAAAACGAGAAAUGUGAUGAAAAUAUGAGUUUAGAGAGGAGCUUGGACUUAUUGAACUGGGCUUUGUAUCUCUCUCAUGUGACUUUGAGUUUCUAGACUCUUAGUAGCGUAAUCAGAAAAUCAGCUCCGCUCAACAAAUUUCUAAUUUUUAUAAUACCAGCAACUAAUUAAUAGUCUGAUUGAUUGAUAUCCUUUGUGGCUCUACUCUACGCUAUAAGUUCUCGAUACUUAAAAUAGUUGACACAUCACAUCAUAUGAUUUUUUUUUUAUGUUUCUUAAACAAGAAGUAAUGCUAACAUAUCUUUUUCUAGGAAUUUUCUUUGGCUUAUUGAUUUGCAGAUCAACUAUGUGAUCAAACAUUAGUGAGAAAUUAAUGAAUUAAUCCUUCACUUAGGCUUGAAUAAAAAAUCAUAUUGAAAACAUAUUUAAUUAGAAUAAUUUAAUUAUU